UGAUAUUUCUUCUUAAAGCAAUGCUUGCUCAGUUUGGUUACAUGAUUCCCAUAAGUGGUGCAAGAGAGAUAUUCCAUUAAACAAGCUUAGGCCGGUGGCAGCUCCGUUAGCACUAGGGAACAAGUCAUAUUAUGGGCGGGUAUCAAGUCAGCAAAGACAUGAAUCAGGGAGUUAACCGGGAAAGGGAAAUCAAUCAGGGUACAAAGCUUCCUUUACGUUAAGCGUAGAAAAUAUGGAUAGCAACACCAAGUAGAAAAUAUUGGUUUAUAGACUCCAAAUCAAGGGCUGUAAGCUAAG
rnacentral:lncRNA from 1 species